rnacentral:rRNA from 1 species
GACAGGGGGGGCAAGUGUUCUUCGGAAUGACUGGGCGUCAAGGGCACGUAGGCGGUGAAUCGGGUUGAAAGUGAAAGUCGCCAAAAAGUGGCGGAAUGCUCUCGAAACCAAUUCACUUGAGUGGGACAGAGGAGAGUGGAAUUUCGUGUGUAGGGGUGAAAUCCGUAGAUCUACGAAGGAAGGCCAAAAGCGAAGGCAGCUCUCUGGGUCCCUACCGACGCUGGGGUGCGAAAGCAUGGGGAGCGAACAGG